GUAUUCUCUACCUUAGGGCAGUCAAUUCUGACUAUUAUAAAUAGCAGCCUGUCCUCUGAUGUGGUUCCAAUAAGCUUCAAACACACAGUCGUACAACCUUUGCUGAAGAAGCCUGGCCUUGAAAGCACUGUUUUAGCAAAUUUCAGGCCCAUCUCCAGGUUGCCAUUUAUUUUCAAAAUUUUG